AGGGAGCGCGGGCGGCGGGCCUAACACAUGCAAGGAGAACGCAGUUGCGAACGUGUGAGUAACGCGUAGGUAACUGCCUCAUAGCGGGGGAUAACUAUUGGAAACGAUAGCUAAUACCGCAUACUGUGAGAUGGACCUGCGUUGUAUUAGCUAGUUGGUGAGGUAAAGGCUCACCAAGGCGACGAUACAUAGCCGACCUGAGAGGGUGAUCGGCCAAACUGGGACUGGGACACGGCCCAGAAUCCUACGGGAGGCAGCAGUAGGGAAUCUUCGGCAAUGGACGGAAGUCUGACCGAGGAACGCCGCGUGAGUGAAGAAGGUUUUCGGGUCGUAAAGCUCUGCUGCUAGAGAAGCGGUAGCUAACCAGAAAGGGACCGCUAACUACGUGACAGCCGCCGCGGUAAUAC
rnacentral:rRNA from 1 species